GGUGGCUGAAAGGGAAGGACAACGUGAGAGGCAGGGACGCGCUGGUGACCGUGCGGGGAAGGCGGUCGACCACGCUGGCACAACGCCGUGUGACGGCCAACGGAGGACUUGCGACCAUCUUUAAAGAACGUGCUGCCUGAACACCAGCGAUGAAGCUACUCAUGACUCAUGAGCUUGGAGAGAAAACCUAGAGACAGAGCAGGAGAGCAAGGUCUGAAGUGACCUCGGAGCCACAACCUGGAGCAGCUGGGAAGACAUGACAUUUUCUUAGGGGACACGACAGUCAGAUGUCAGAAACAUCCGAAAUACACCUACAGGUGGAGCCGGGACCCGUCGGAGCUGCAUUGUGGUCGCGGAAGUGCCCGUGACACUUCAUCCACCGGGGCGAUCUUCCCCCCCU